ACCACAGUAGUGUAGUGGUUUGAAUGUUGGACUAGGACUCCUGGAGAUUAGGGUUCAAAUCCCUGCUCAGCUG
rnacentral:tRNA from 1 species